CUGAGACCAGGUUGGAUGCUUAGGUGCCAGUUAUUUUCUUCCUAAUGAUCUCUCUCUGCCAUACAAUUUAUGAUGUGAGACAGUUUCCAAAUUGUAGGCUUUGCACUGCUUUUUAAAAACUGUGCUGUUUCUGCCCCCACUUCCUUGAGGUAAAGAAUACGUUGCUGUCAGUUUCACUGACAUAUUACUGCCUGCAUGCACAUGCACACAGUUAUGUGGAAGACAAAUCUGUUUUGGUGAUUCAACAGGUGAUUCCGAUUAAUCUGUGAUUGAUCAAGGACAGGAGUCAGAGAGGCCUGCCAAAACAACAUCACAGCCAGAAACAUAUGUGUCAGGUGUGACGUCAAAGAGAAGAAGAGGUAACUCGGCAAUGGCUAACUGGUCUUCUCAACACCAGACCUUUUUGGAGGGACUGGCAGCAGAAAAAGACAUGACUGGAGGCGCAGAUAGUGCAGAGCCAGGGGAGGGAGGAGUGGAUCAUCUCUUUGAUUGUGGAGUCCAAUGCACAUACCACAGAGCAUGUCGUGUCUCUGCUGCUUGAAGGCUUCCGAAGCAUCCAGCCACCACCACCGCACCAGCCAAUGUUUGUCCCAUCUCCCUAUCAAGGAUACCACACACCUCCCCAAAACUACCAAAUGCAUGCCAAUCCUGCCUCAAGCACAGCCUUCUUUGACCAACCAGCUGAUGAAGAAGAAACAAAAUACUUCCAAGACUUAGUUCCAACACGAAGUUCCUAACAUGUUGUUGCUCAGUUCAGUUUAGGGGCUAAUAGUUGGCUCUGAAGUCAACAAGCAAGUCCCUAAAAGUUCAUUUCUGUUGAACUGGUGUGAUGGAAAUGUUUAUCUUUGUGCUUUUCUAAUAACCAAUUUCAGUGUUCAUGCAAGUGGCUGAUUGAAUGUGCCUGUCCUGAGUCCUCACUAUUAGUAUCUGCAAUUUGGCAGUACGCCCAGAACCUUGUUUUGAGAAUGAAAUAUAUCUCAGUUUCAAGGUCUCAGCUUAUAGGGAGGAAGCCUUGUGAGGUAUUUGUCUUUAGGCAUUUAUAAGAGAAGUGUCUACGUGGUCUGCAGUCACUGGUAGAGAACAGUAUAAAGUGCACUAGGUGCUAUUCUAUGUGUAUAGUGAAGCUACAUAUGGUGCAUAGGAAGUAGCGACAAAGAAUCGUUGAAGAUGCAUAUUGAGUAAUAUGGGUGAUUAUUGAGUGUGUUUGGGAAUAGUACUAAGUGAAUCAGGAUGUGAAAGUUGUGUGAUUAUGAGAUGUGACAGAUUAAACUGAUUGAAAUUUGGAUAAAAAAAGAUUGACAUCAAAUCAAAUCAAGACAUUUGGAUAAUAAGCUGAUUGAGACUUGUAAUAAUAAGAAAUUGUAAUUUGAAAAUAAACUGAUUGAAAUGUAGCUAUUAAAUAGAGAGUGAAUAAGAGCUAUCAUGGGACUAGCUCCAGUGAGAAAGAUGAUUGAAUGGAUACCCCAACCAGUUCUGUAUGGGCUGAGUAUUUCUAUCUAUAACGUUAUCUAGCGGUUCUGUCCACCACUGGCCAUCGUAGACUGGGACUACUAAGUGUUAUUGAGCAGCCACACUUUUGGCAUUCUCUCAACCAGCUUGGAAUGCAUUUCAAUUAACAGGUAUGCCUUGUUAAAAGUGAAUUUCUGGACUUUCUUUUCUUCUUAAUGGUUUGAGACAAUCAGUUGUGUUGUGACAAGGUAGGGGUCGUAUACAGAAGAUAGCCCUAGAAAAUAGUAAAAAUCUUUAAAAGAAACUAAGUAUAUUUUUUUGUUAAUUAAAAUAAAUGUUGCAGUCAAAAUUGCUGUGCUUGAUAACAUUUGUGCAUCUUUAAAAUAAAAUUCUA